GUUUUCUCCUCAGUUUUGAUAGGAUGAUGCCAGCUUCCUUUUCCGCCCGUAAUGUCCAACCAUCAGUGGGAGCAAGCAGACCAGGAAAAGGUUAUUAAAUGGCUCAAGGUGUUUCAUUUGCCUCCCCCGGUGCGCCCUGGGAAAUGCGGUUUGUGGGACACCCACGCAAUCAGGAUGCUCAUUUCAUGGAGGGAACAGGCUGGGAAAUUUAUGUGAGCAACAGAAACUCAUUGGAUCAUUCUGGAACCAUUACCAGAAGCGACACCUGUGACGCAUCCUGAUGGCUGUAAAACGAUCGAAUGCGAAACGGUACCAAGUGGGGGAGGAAGUGAGAAUAGAGAGAAAAAAUGUAGGUUUUCUCAGAGCUGGUAGGAGCAGAUGGCGAGCACAUUUUGGACAUCCUUUGUGAAUGAUUUCAAAAUCUAUUUAUCUAUUCCAAAGAGAUCGCUGGAAUCUCCA